rnacentral:rRNA from 1 species
UAAUUCCGUGCCAGCAGCCGCGGUAAUACGGGAGGUGCAAGCGUUAUCCGGUUUUAUUGGGUUUAAAGGGUGCGUAGGCGGCUUAUUAAGUCAGUUGUGAAAUCCUAGUGCUUAACGCUAGAACUGCGAUUGAUACUAUUAGGCUUGAGUUAAGAAGAGGUAGGCAGAAUUUAUGGUGUAGUAGUGAAAUGCUUAGAUAUCAUAAGGAAUACCAAUAGCGUAGGCAGCUUACUGGUCUUUAACUGACGCUGAGGCACGAAAGCGUGGGGGGCAAACAGGAUUAGAUACCCUGGUAGUCCACGCCGUAAACGAUGAUCACUCGAUAUACAUGAUGCGUCAUGUGUGUCUAAGCGAAAGCAUUAAGUGAUCCACCUGGGGAGUAUACUCGCAAGGGUGAAACUCAAAGGAAUUGACGGGGGUCCGCACAAGCGGUGGAGUAUGUGGUUUAAUUCGAUAAUACGCGAGGAACCUUACCUGGGCUAGAAUGUAUUUUGCUACCUUGAGAAAUUAAGGGUUCCUUCGGGACGGAAUACAAGGUGCUGCAUGGCUGUCGUCAGCUCGUGCCGUGAGGUGUUGGGUUAAGUCCUAUAACGAGCGAAACCCUUUUACUUAAUUGCCAGCACAUAAUGGUGGGGACUUUAAGUAGACUGCCCGUGUAAGCGGGAGGAAGGAGAGGACGAGGUCAAGUCAUCAUGGCCUUUAUGCCCAGGGCUACACACGUACUACAAUGGCAUGUACAAAGGGAAGCUACUUGGUAACAAGAUGCAAAUCUCAAAAGCAUGUCUCAGUUCGGAUUGGGGUCUGCAAUUCGACCUCAUGAAGUUGGAAUCGCUAGUAAUCGCGUAUCAGCAAUGACGCGGUGAAUACGUUCUCGGACCUUGUACACACCGCCCAUCAAGCCAUGGGAGUUGGUAGAGCUUGAAGACAGUG